CAGUCGCCGCGGGAAUACGAAGGGUGCAAGCGUUACUCGGAAUUACUGGGCGUAAAGCGUGCGUAGGUGGUUGUUUAAGUCUGCUGUGAAAGCCCUGGGCUCAACCUGGGAAUUGCAGUGGAUACUGGGCAACUAGAGUAAGGUAGAGGAUAGUGGAAUUUCCGGUGUAGCAGUGAAAUGCGUAGAGAUCGGAAGGAACAUCUGUGGCGAAGGCGACUAUCUGGGCCAUUACUGACACUGAGGCACGAGAGCGUGGGGAGCAAACAGGAUUAGAUACCCCUGUAGUCCCUGUCUCUUAUAC
rnacentral:rRNA from 1 species